CACAUCAGGAUGGUGGAGCUGUCUGAUUUGCAUAUGGAAAUAACCGACGGAAAAGGCGGAAAAGGAGCUACUGUUAUCUUGUUCUGCAUGGGCUACUUCCGUUGAUUAGAUAAACUGGACAAGCUGGACAGAUCGGCAUUGGAGAAAAUUUCCAUAUCAGGUUUUCUGGAAACGGUUGGAAGCUAGUCUUAGUGUCGUUGAUCAGGAACCGGUGUUGUUGAGCAGAGUGGAGAAACAAAAUUACUUUACCCGGAUCAUACUCAUUGUUCGGGAUGGUUAAUCCGACAAUCGAAACAGGUUAAAAAAUCAACCCAGAAGACCUCAUCGAAGAGGUCGCCUUCUUUAGAACCUCGGCGGAUGUGCAUCGGAUACUUCUGCCGAAACGGGAAAUUCCUUGCAAGCUUGAGAGAACGAAUGUUUUAUUUUGGUCACCUCAUCGAAACUGUUCCAACAGAUGCUUUGUACCCUCCUGACAUCCAGGUUGGUCAUAUAGGCACGAAUCAGUACCGGAUGUUGAGACGGAUGCCCUCUUAGAAGAAUUAUUGAGGUAUUGAAUUUGUUGCCAACUGCAAUGAAAAACUACAUUUCGGAACCAGGAUUGUAUUGGAUUGACAAUAAAUAUUUUAU